rnacentral:ncRNA from 1 species
CCGUCCUAGUCUCAACCAUAAACGAUGCCGACCAGGGAUCGGCGGAUGUUGCUUAUAGGACUCCGCCGGCACCUUAUGAGAAAUCAAAGUCUUUGGGUUCCGGGGGGAGUAUCACCGCAAGGCUGAAACUUAAAGGAAUUGACGGAAGGGCACCACCAGGCGUGGAGCCUGCGGCUUAAUUUGACUCAACACGGGGAAACUUACCAGGUCCAGACAUAGCAAGGAUUGACAGACUGAGAGCUCUUUCUUGAUUCUAUGGGUGGUGG